CCUACGGGGGGCAGCAGUGGGGAAUAUUGGACAAUGGGGGGAACCCUGAUCCAGCCAUGCCGCGUGUGUGAAGAAGGCCCUCGGGUUGUAAAGCACUUUCAGCGAGGAAGAACGCCUGGUGGUUAAUACCCAUCAGGAAAGACAUCACUCACAGAAGAAGCACCGGCUAACUCCGUGCCAGCAGCCGCGGUAAUACGGAGGGUGCGAGCGUUAAUCGGAAUUACUGGGCGUAAAGCGCGCGUAGGUGGCUUGAUAAGCCGGUUGUGAAAGCCCCGGGCUCAACCUGGGAACGGCAUCCGGAACUGUCAAGCUAGAGGGCAGGAGAGGAGGGUAGAAUUCCCGGUGUAGCGGUGAAAUGCGUAGAGAUCGGGAGGAAUACCAGUGGCGAAGGCGGCCUUCUGGACUGACACUGACACUGAGGUGCGAAAGCGUGGGUAGCAAACAGGAUUAGAUACCCUAGUAGUC
rnacentral:rRNA from 1 species